rnacentral:rRNA from 1 species
AGUGAACGCUGGCGGUAGGCCUAACACAUGCAAGUCGAACGGCAGCACAGUAGGAGCUUGCUCUUACGGGUGGCGAGUGGCGGACGGGUGAGGAAUACAUCGGAAUCUACUUUUUCGUGGGGGAUAACGUAGGGAAACUUACGCUAAUACCGCAUACGACCUACGGGUGAAAGCAGGGGAUCUUCGGACCUUGCGUGAUUGAAUGAGCCGAUGUCGGAUUAGCUAGUUGGCGGGGUAAAGGCCCACCAAGGCGACGAUCCGUAGCUGGUCUGAGAGGAUGAUCAGCCACACUGGAACUGAGACACGGUCCAGACUCCUACGGGAGGCAGCAGUGGGGAAUAUUGGACAAUGGGCGCAAGCCUGAUCCAGCCAUACCGCGUGGGUGAAGAAGGCCUUCGGGUUGUAAAGCCCUUUUGUUGGGAAAGAAAAGCAGCAGGUUAAUACCCCGCUGUUCUGACGGUACCCAAAGAAUAAGCACCGGCUAACUUCGUG